GGGAGGAAGGUGUUGUGGUUAAUAACCACAGCAAUUGACGUUACCCGCAGAAGAAGCACCGGCUAACUCCGUGCCAGCAGCCGCGGUAAUACGGAGGAUGCAAGCGUUAAUCGGAAUUACUGGGCGUAAAGCGCACGCAGGCGGUCUGUCAAGUCGGAUGUGAAAUCCCCGGGCUCAACCUGGGAACUGCAUUCGAAACUGGCAGGCUUGAGUCUUGUAGAGGGGGGUAGAAUUCCAGGUGUAGCGGUGAAAUGCGUAGAGAUCUGGAGGAAUACCGGUGGCGAAGGCGGCCCCCUGGACAAAGACUGACGCUCAGGUGCGAAAGCGUGGGGAGCAAACAGGAUUAGAUACCCUGGUAGUCCACGCCGUAAACGAUGUCUACUUGGAGGUUGUGCCCUUGAGGCGUGGCUUCCGGAGCUAACGCGUUAAGUAGACCGCCUGGGGAGUACGGCCGCAAGGUUAAAACUCAAAUGAAUUGACGGGGGCCCGCACAAGCGGUGGAGCAUGUGGUUUAAUUCGAUGCAACGCGAAGAACCUUACCUGGUCUUGACAUCCACAGAACUUUCCAGAGAUGGAUUGGUGCCUUCGGGAACUGUGAGACAGGUGCUGCAUGGCUGUCGUCAGCUCGUGUUGUGAAAUGUUGGGUUAAGUCCCGCAACGAGCGCAACCCUUAUCCUUUGUUGCCAGCGGUUAGG
rnacentral:rRNA from 1 species